GGUGUUACAUCAAAGUACCGCGAGAGUGUAUAUACGAGCAUAUGGAACCAUCAGCUGUCGAACGCUCUCGCGGUACUUUGAUGUCACACACCGAUCGGUCGCUGCAGCGCCGCUUCAAGUCGAACUUAAUGUCGAGUAAACAAUAGAGGGUGCGGUUAGUUUUUUCUACUGCAAACAUAUUGGAUGUAGUAAAAUACGCGUUUCAUUCAGAAAUGAACACUGGCAGUUUGAGGGGCGUGGUUAAGGAAGUCAAGCUCAUGCUCAAACCGUCAAACUGAUGUCAUCAGAGAAGCGUCGUUGUUCUGGAGGGGAGGAGCAUUUUCAGGUCCUAUCCCAGGAUGGUCAGGAACGACUGGCAGCAGAGACAGACAGAAGACUGUGUCAAGGGAAGACACGGGUUCACAAGAGGAAACCUACCGUGGAAGAUACACUUAUAGGAUCUCCAUGGAGAAUCAGCUAUAUGGAGCACCUAAGACAGUACAGGGGAUGACUGGAACCGGGAAAGCUUCAGCUUCUGGCUUCAGACUGCUCCACAAAGUCUGACUGCUGAGGGUGUCGGAGGAAGCCCCACCAGGGUUCACUGACCGGAGAACUUUACUGGAGGAGAAAAAUAGUGCUUGUGUCCCCGGAUGAGGGGGAAUGGCGCAGCAUGCGUGACACUGGCCAGUUCUUCACGGCAAUUACCUGUUACCCAACACACGGGAAGCGACUGGCUCCAGGGGAAGACUGUAGUACCUUGUGAAGGUGUUCGGUGUCAGAUCUGCAGAUGUCUGCCAGUGAAGCACCGUGUGCCAAUGCAAAGGAGGAGGCAACACUUACCCCUAGGGGGCACGGAGCACCUAGGGCCUGUUAAGCCAAGGUGAUGGUAUCCGCUAUCCAGUGGGCCAACCUCUGCUUGGAGACAACCUUCCCUUUCUGCUGACCUUCGUGACAGACAAAAAGCUGCUCAGAGCUUCUGAAGCUCUGGGUGCCCUCCACAUCUAUGCAUAGAGCUCUGACGGGACACAUCAACGUAUAUUUAAUACUGUUUUUUAUUUGAAAACACAAUAGUGUUAUCACACUUUAUAAUUUUUUUCUAUUAUAUCAUUUGUAAAUAAUUAAUUCAUUCCUUUUUCAUAGUUAAUGCUCCUUUAAAUGCUCCUGCGAUUAAUUAUGUUUUUGAAACCUAACAGAUUGUAGAAUUAGUAUGGUAUGUACCAAUCACCAACAUUUAAGUUUAGUGCUGAAAGAUAUGACAGUGGUCUUUCAGAUGCACUGUCAUUCUCCAUCGAUUACUAUGACCUUGUGAUAUCCUCUGUCUCGCUAACAUUCAGCGAGCAUGUCACUACUAGGGAUCUCACAUGGCUGGGUGGCUAGAGCUCUACAUUAAAACAGCCACCAUUCAAGGGCGGAGUCUAUUGUGGUCUCCAUCUAUUGGUGGCUUACACCACAGAGGGGUGUGGGUUACCUCCACGUCAAGACCAAUCGUUUUACUAGCUUUUUUGAAAGCACAAUAUUGACUUUUGUUUCUCUCACAUGUCACUGUGGAGCAGCCUGUGAGCUUGUUAAGUUAAGUGAGCCUAUCUGCCAAGGGAGAAGAUUUUUUUGUUUAACUUUCAGUGUUUUAUAGUGACAUGGUUUGUGCUAAUUUUCUGAUUCAGUGUGACUAAAUAUGUGUAACCUGCUCACAAAAUCUGCCCACCCUUAAUGUGACAUUAGCUGUGUGUCACUCUCCUCACUGACACAAAGUUUAUCAGGCACUCUCAGGAAUAAAGGUACAAAAGUUGUCACCGGGGUGGUACCUUUUUAACAGGUACAUGCUUGUCUCUCCAUUUUAGUAACUAAAAGGUACAUAUUAAUACUUAAAGUGGACCUAAUAGGUCAAUAUAUACAUUUAUAAUAAUAAAUAAAACAUUUGAACCUAAUAGGUUACCUUUUGAAAAGGUACCAUCACAGUGUCCCAAAGUGCAUGGUGGAUAAUCUUGCUUAUCUCUGACAAGUGUGCUUAUAUGCUUUCAGUUUCUUAUAACGUCAUGCUCAGAUACAUAGAUAACAACAAAAACAGGUUAAUUUGCAACAUUAGCCUUUGCACACUUUUACAGUAUUUACCUCGCACAAUGUAUUCACAUAGCAUAAGGUUAAUCGCAUCAGCAUAAAUGCACACAUUAUUUUAAAAAAAUAUAUAUAGCAUAGCUGAGUGCAUACAGCAAAUAGCGUGCCAUUUUUGGAGCAGGAGGGUUAUUGAUUAUGCAGCCAGUCUGGCCCACACUUCCCUCAGGCUGUGUCCCUCAUUGGGAGCUAGGUUGACUGUCUCUUCAUCACUUCCUAGAUCUCUCCUCUAAUUGUGUGUGUGGAGAUGAGCUCAGGCACCCCGCUAACCUGCUGGCUCCAGGACGACCUGGCAGAAACAUGAGGCGAGCGAGCAGAAGAAAUGAUUGGAAGCCAGAUAUGGGAGGCUCUUUUCGCAGUUAUGAGAAGAAAGUCAAGAUUGCAAGAUAUAUGGAAGUACAAGAGUUUAUAUGAGUUUACAUUUUGCAAUUCAGCUUUUUUUUUUUUUCACAGAAAAAAAUUUCAAAUUGUGAAAUAUAAAAAAG